rnacentral:pre_miRNA from 1 species
AAACUACUCCCUCCGUUCGGAAUUACUUGUCGCGAAAAUGGAUGUAUCUAAAUACGUCUAGAUACAUCCAUUUUCGCGACAAGUAAUUCCGAACGGAGGAAGUAGACA